UUCAAUCGCCGGCGACCGGCGCACGGGUGAGUAACGCGUAUCCAACCUUCCGUACACUCAGGGAUAGCCUUUCGAAAGAAAGAUUAAUACCUGAUGGUAUGAUGAGAUUGCAUGAUGGCAUAGUUCUUCCGCAUGGUGGAACUAUUAAAGAAUUUCGGUCAUCGAUGGGGAUGCGUUCCAUUAGGUUGUUGGCGGGGUAACGGCCCACCAAGCCUUCGAUGGAUAGGGGUUCUGAGAGGAAGGUCCCCACAUUGGAACUGAGACACGGUCCAAACUCC
rnacentral:rRNA from 1 species